UCCGCAAUGUGGGCGAAAGUGAGGGCUCCCCGCAGCAUGGGGAGAUGGCCGUCCCCAAACCCUGUUGAGAGCGGCCUUUUCUAGGCUAACCUCUUCAGAUGGAUCAAUGCAAACCUGGCUGGAAGCCUCAGACAUGGACAAUGAAAGGAGCGAGCGGACAAGAACUGCAAAUCUGAAAGGAAACGUUUCUCAAGUGCCAGAACAGUAGAAGUCAACAUCCUAGAAGUGGGAAACCCAGACUGGUCAUGAAAUACUUGGAAGAAGCUUAAACUGUGGCAUCACUAGUGAUGGAGAAACUGGAGACUGGGGACCAGGAACAGAAGCUUCCACCCUGCAAGGCCCCUCCUGGGACAGACGCGAUCUCUGCGGACAGCAGCAGACAACCCAGACUCAGCCAGUGUUCUGAAGACCUCGUCUACGGCUGAACGUGGAUUUGCGGACCCGGCAGAGUUUAGAGGCCCUCGAGCCUCCCUUCGCACUUUGCUGGAGAAGUGAAAGAGCCUGGGCAGGUGGGAGGUGGAGCCACGUCCCUGGAAGCACACAG